GGAUCAGGUAGGACUACCCGCUGAACUUAAGCAUAUCAAUAAGCGGAGGAAAAGAAACAACAGGGAUUGCCCUAGUAACGGCGAGUGAAGCGGCAACAGCUCGAAUUUGAAAUCUGGCCUCGGCCCGAGUUGUAAUCUGUAGAGGACGCUUUUGGCGCGGUGCCUUCCGAGUUCCCUGGAACGGGACGCCACAGAGGGUGAGAGCCCCGUAAGGUCGGACACCAAGCCUGUGUAAAGCCCCUUCGACGAGUCGAGUAGCUUGGGAAUGCUGCUCUAAGCGGGAGGUAUACUUCUUCUAAAGCUAAAUAUUGGCCAGAGACCGAUAGCGCACAAGUAGAGUGAUCGAAAGAUGAAAAGCACUUUGAAAAGAGGGUCAAAUAGUACGUGAAAUUGUUGAAAGGGAAGCGCUUGUGAUCAGACUCGCGCCGGGCGGAUCAUCCAGUGGUCUCCACUGGUGCACUCCGGCCGGCGCGGGCCAGCGUCGGCUGUUGCGGGGGGACAAAAGCUCUGGGAACGUAGCUCUCUCCGGGGAGUGUUAUAGCCCUCUGCAGAAUACCCCCGCGGCGGCCGAGGUCCGCGCAUUGCAAGGACGCUGGCGUAAUGGUCAUCAGCGACCCGUCUUGAAACACGGACCAAGGAGUCGAGGUUUUGCGCGAGUGUUCGGGUGCAAAGCCCCAACGCGUAAUUAACGUGAACGUAGGUGAGAGCUUCGGCGCAUCAUCGACCGAUCCUGAUGUAUUCGGAUGGAUUUGAGUAGGAGCGUAAAGCCUCGGACCCGAAAGAUGGUGAACUAUGCCUGUAUAGGGUGAAGCCAGAGGAAACUCUGGUGGAGGCUCGCAGCGGUUCUGACGUGCAAAUCGAUCGUCAAAUAUGGGCAUGGGGGCGAAAGACUAAUCGAACCAUCUAGUAGCUG
rnacentral:rRNA from 1 species